rnacentral:rRNA from 1 species
GAGUUUGAUCAUGGCUCAGAUUGAACGCUGGCGGUAGGCUUAACACAUGCAAGUCGUGCGAGAAAGUAUCUUCGGAUAUGAGUAGAGCGGCGGACGGGUGAGUAACGCGUAGGAAUCUACCUAGUAGAAGGGGAUAGCCCGGGGAAACCCGGAUUAAUACCGUAUACCUCCUUCGGGAGAAAGAAGGCCUCUCUUUGAAGCUUUCGCUACUAGAUGAGCCUGCGUAAGAUUAGCUUGUUGGUGAGGUAAAGGCUCACCAAGGCGACGAUCUUUAGCUGGUCUGAGAGGACGAUCAGCCACAUUGGGACUGAGACACGGCCCAGACUCCUACGGGAGGCAGCAGUGGGGAAUAUUGGACAAUGGGCGCAAGCCUGAUCCAGCCAUACCGCGUGUGUGAAGAAGGCCUUCGGGUUGUAAAGCACUUUAAGCAGGGAGAAAAAGUUAUAAGUUAAUACCUUAUAACCCUGAUGUUACCUGCAGAAUAAGCACCGGCUAAUUCCGUGCCAGCAGCCGCGGUAAUACGGAAGGUGCAAGCGUUAAUCGGAAUUACUGGGCGUAAAGCGCGCGUAGGUGGUUUGUUAAGUUGGAUGUGAAAGCCCUGGGCUCAACCUAGGAACUGCAUCCAAAACUAACUCGCUAGAGUACGAUAGAGGGAGGUAGAAUUCAUAGUGUAGCGGUGGAAUGCGUAGAUAUUAUGAAGAAUACCAGUGGCGAAGGCGGCCUCCUGGAUCUGUACUGACACUGAGGUGCGAAAGCGUGGGUAGCGAACAGGAUUAGAUACCCUCGUAGUCCAUGCCGUAAACGAUGUGUGUUAGACGUUGGAAAUUUAUUUUCAGUGUCGCAGGGAAACCGAUAAACACACCGCCUGGGGAGUACGACCGCAAGGUUAAAACUCAAAUGAAUUGACGGGGACCCGCACAAGUAGUGGAGCAUGUGGUUUAAUUCGAAGAUACGCGCAGAACCUUACCAACACUUGACAUGUUCGUCGCGACUCUAAGAGAUUAGAGUUUUCGGUUCGGCCGGACGAAACACAGGUGCUGCAUGGCUGUCGUCAGCUCGUGUCGUGAGAUGUUGGGUUAAGUCCCGCAACGAGCGCAACCCUCACUUUUAGUUGCCAUCAUUAAGUUGGGCACUCUGAAAGAACUGCCAGUGAUAAGCUGGAGGAAGGUGGGGAUGACGUCAAGUCCUCAUGGCCCUUACGUGUUGGGCUACACACGUGCUACAAUGGUAUCUACAACAGGAAGCAAGACUGCGAAGUUAAGCAAAUCCCUAAAAGAUGCCUCAGUUCGGAUUGCACUCUGCAACUCGAGUGCAUGAAGCUGGAAUUACUAGUAAUCGUGGAUCAGCGUGCCACGGUGAAUGCGUUCCCGGGUCUUGUACACACCGCCCGUCACACCAUGGGAGUUGGUUCUACCUUAAGGCAAGGUUUUAAACCCUUGACCACGGUAUAGUCAGCGACUGGGGUGAAGUCGUAACAAGGUAACC